GGGGAAUAUUGCACAAUGGGGGAAACCCUGAUGCAGCGACGCCGCGUGGAGGAAGAAGGUCUUCGGAUUGUAAACUCCUGUUGUUGAGGAAGAUAAUGACGGUACUCAACAAGGAAGUGACGGCUAACUACGUGCCAGCAGCCGCGGUAAAACGUAGGUCACAAGCGUUGUCCGGAAUUACUGGGUGUAAAGGGAGCGCAGGCGGGAGAACAAGUUGGAAGUGAAAUCCAUGGGCUCAACCCAUGAACUGCUUUCAAAACUGUUUUUCUUGAGUAGUGCAGAGGUAGGCGGAAUUCCCGGUGUAGCGGUGGAAUGCGUAGAUAUCGGGAGGAACACCAGUGGCGAAGGCGGCCUACUAGGCACCAACUGACGCUGAGGCUCGAAAGUGUGGGUAGCAAACAGGAUUAGAUACCCUGGUAGUCCACACCGUAAACGAUGAUUACUAGGUGUUGGAGGAUUGACCCCUUCAGUGCCGCAGUUAACACAAUAAGUAAUCCACCUGGGGAGUACGACCGCAAGGUUGAAACUCAAAGGAAUUGACGGGGGCCCGCACAAGCAGUGGAGUAUGUGGUUUAAUUCGACGCAACGCGAAGAACCUUACCAAGUCUUGACAUCCCUUGACAGACAUAGAAAUAUGUUUUCUCUUCGGAGCAAGGAGACAGGUGGUGCAUGGUUGUCGUCAGCUCGUGUCGUGAGAUGUUGGGUUAAGUCCCGCAACGAGCGCAACCCUUAUGGUCAGUUACUACGCAAGAGGACUCUGGCCAGACUGCCGUUGACAAAACGGAGGAAGGUGGGGAUGACGUCAAAUCAUCAUGCCCUUUAUGACUUGGGCUACACACGUACUACAAUGGCGUUAAACAAAGAGAAGCAAGACCGCGAGGUGGAGCAAAACUCAGAAACAACGUCCCAGUUCGGACUGCAGGCUGCAACUCGCCUGCACGAAGUCGGAAUUGCUAGUAAUCGUGGAUCAGCAUGCCACGGUGAAUACGUUCCCG
rnacentral:rRNA from 1 species